UGGGGAAUAUUGGACAAUGGGCGGAAGCCUGAUCCAGCAACGCCGCGUGAGGGAUGACGGCCUUCGGGUUGUAAACCUCUUUCAGCACAGACGAAGCGAAAGUGACGGUAUGUGCAGAAGAAGGACCGGCCAACUACGUGCCAGCAGCCGCGGUAAUACGUAGGGUCCGAGCGUUGUCCGGAAUUAUUGGGCGUAAAGGGCUCGUAGGCGGUUUGUCGCGUCGGGAGUGAAAACUCAGGGCUUAACUCUGAGCUUGCUUCCGAUACGGGCAGACUUGAGGCAUUCAGGGGAGAACGGAAUUCCUGGUGUAGCGGUGAAAUGCGCAGAUAUCAGGAGGAACACCGGUGGCGAAGGCGGUUCUCUGGGAAUGUUCUGACGCUGAGGAGCGAAAGUGUGGGGAGCGAACAG
rnacentral:rRNA from 1 species